rnacentral:rRNA from 1 species
UUGCGGUUAAAAAGCUCGUAGUUGGAUCUCGGCAAGUAGAGGGCGGUAUGCUUCGUAGCAUUACUGCCCUAUUACUUGUAGUUUUGCCAGAGGUUCCUGGGUGCUCUUAUCGAGUGUCUAGGGAUGCUGGCAGGUUUACUUUGAAAAAAUUAGAGUGCUCAAAGCAGGCUAUUACGCUUGAAUAUUCGUGCAUGGAAUAAUAGAAUAGGAAGUUGUUUCUAUUUUGUUGGUUUUCGGAAAUCGACUUAAUGAUUAAUAGGGACAGUCGGGGGCAUUUGUAUUCAAACGACAGAGGUGAAAUUCUUGGACCGUUUGAAGACAAACUACUGCGAAAGCAUUUGC